rnacentral:rRNA from 1 species
UACGUAGGGACCAAGCGUUGUUCGGAUUUACUGGGCGUAAAGGGCGCGUAGGCGGCCCCGCAAGUCACUUGUGAAAUCUCUGGGCUUAACCCAGAACGGCCAAGUGAAACUGCAGGGCUAGAGUGUAGAAGGGGCAAUCGGAAUUCUUGGUGUAGCGGUGAAAUGCGUAGAUAUCAAGAGGAACACCUGAGGUGAAGACGGGUUGCUGGUCUAACACUGACGCUGAGGCGCGAAAGCCAGGGGAGCAAGCGGG